GAGGCCGUCUGGGCGUCGUGAGGUGAAUUCGAGGGGCGGCGGUGAGAAGCUUGCCCUCUGUGGAGCGCGCUGGGCCCCAGACAAGUCUGAGGAUAAUUUGUCGAGCAGUUGGGCUGAGACGGAAAAAGUUUUUCUUUGAAAAUGGAUAGGAUGUCUUCAGAGGCAAAUGAAGAAAAUGACAAUACAGAAAGACCUGUUAGAAGACGACAUUCCUCAAUUUUGAAACCCCCAAGGAGUCCUCUUCAGGACCUCAGAGGUGUAAAUGAAACAGUUCAGG